UCCGGUGAGGUAGAGAAUAGCUCAGCCCCCCUAUCUAGUUGGUGAUAGGAUGGUUCAGUUGCCUGUUAACAGCUGGGAAGAAACUGUCCCAGAAUCUGGAGGUGCACGUUUUCACGCUUCUGGCCCUUUUGCCUGAUGGCAGAGGGUAGAA